rnacentral:rRNA from 1 species
UACGUAGGGCGCAAGCGUUGUCCGGAAUUAUUGGGCGUAAAGAGCUCGUAGGCGGCUUGUCACGUCGGGUGUGAAAGCCCGGGGCUUAACCCCGGGUCUGCAUUCGAUACGGGCUAGCUAGAGUGUGGGUAGGGGAGAUCGGAAUUCCUGGUGUAGCGGUGAAAUGCGCAGAUAUCAGGAGGAACACCGGUGGCGAAGGCGGAUCUCUGGGCCAUUACUGACGCUGAGAGCGAAAGCGUGGGGAGCGAACAGG